AAAAUGGGGGUGUGUCAGCUGCCUUCCUAGUAUGGGUGUGUUUAACCGGGCCGCGCGGUGAGACUGGCGCCCAAUGAAUCCUGAACUGACCAACGGUGAUACUCCAGACGGAGAACAUGAGUUCAAGCCCAAAUGAUGACCCAAGACCCCGGACACCGCCAUUGGCCCCGGCACUCCUGCCGGGCACUGCGCCCACACUCAUUAUCUGCUGCAGCAGCGAACUGCCCCACUCACUGUACCUGUUUUUGAGAAGAUGAGCUGCAGAAUGAGAGGCCGCCGGGUGACGAUUCCUGAACCUCGGGGAAGGAAGUCCCUGUGGGAGGGGAAAAGGACAGAAAUUACUCAGCGGCUGGCUCGCGGGCAGGAAGUGUGACCACACGUGUGAAGCAAUCCCGCCUUGCGACUGGGGCAACCUCAGCAAAGAUACCAAGAUCCCAGCCAGAUCUUGGAGGAGGGUCCUGAGGCCACCGGGGGCAGAAGAGGGACUGGAAUGAAGGUUGGUGGUGAAUGGAACCGUUUCCCUCUGGCUGGCCGUGCUCCAGCCCCAGCAUGCCCCCAGAGCCCUUUCGCUGACAGAUAUUUGAACAAUAUCUCCUGCACCCCAAAGAAAUGAGUUCAUUUCCUACAUACAUGUUUUAAAUUAAUUUAAUGCCUUAUGUAUGAUACGAAGACUAAAUAAAAGGAAAGUAGUUGAUGACAAAAUACAUGUUUCGUGUCCCAAAAAGACAAAUCGAUGCAGGCAGGAAGUGAGUGGAUCAAUGGCUGCCCAAGGGGUGGGACAUGAGGAGGGAGCUUUCUGGAAAUGUCCUAAAACCUGACUGUGGUGAUGCUAAUAUUUACUGUAAGUGUACUAAAAACCACUGCAUUUGAAAUGGGUAAAUUUUCCUAGUAUAUAAACAAUCCCUCAAUAAAGCUGUUAAAUAAAGAAACAUACCCUGUGUAUUUCACCAUGGAAAUACUCAGGCACCAGCUGGACUGACUUACACCACUACAUGUGGAUUCAUGCAAAGCAGGACGACCAGAAGGCACUCUGGACCAUUAAGAAAGGACAGCCGAAGAGCCAGGGUCCAGUGAGCGAGGAGGUAGAAGAGGGAUUUUCGGAGAUUAAAGCCGUGCAAAGGA